GACGAACGCUGGCGGCGUGCCUAAUACAUGCAAGUCGAACGCUGAAGGAGGAGCUUGCUUCUCUGGAUGAGUUGCGAACGGGUGAGUAACGCGUAGGUAACCUGCCUGGUAGCGGGGGAUAACUAUUGGAAACGAUAGCUAAUACCGCAUAAGAGUAGAUGUUGCAUGACAUUUGCUUAAAAGGUGCAAUUGCAUCACUACCAGAUGGACCUGCGUUGUAUUAGCUAGUUGGUGAGGUAACGGCUCACCAAGGCAACGAUACAUAGCCGACCUGAGAGGGUGAUCGGCCACACUGGGACUGAGACACGGCCCAGACUCCUACGGGAGGCAGCAGUAGGGAAUCUUCGGCAAUGGACGGAAGUCUGACCGAGCAACGCCGCGUGAGUGAAGAAGGUUGUCGGAUCGUAAAGCUCUGUUGUAAGAGAAGAACGAGUGUGAGAGUGGAAAGUUCACACUGUGACGGUAUCUUACCAGAAAGGGACGGCUAACUACGUG
rnacentral:rRNA from 1 species